rnacentral:rRNA from 1 species
CCUACGGGGGGCAGCAGUGAGGAAUAUUGGUCAAUGGCCGGAAGGCUGAACCAGCCAAGCCGCGUGAAGGACGAAGGUGCCAAGCAUUGUAAACUUCUUUUAUAAGGGAAUAAAGUGCGGGACGUGUCCCGUUUUGUAUGUACUUUAUGAAUAAGGAUCGGCUAACUCCGUGCCAGCAGCCGCGGUAAUACGGAGGAUCCGAGCGUUAUCCGGAUUUAUUGGGUUUAAAGGGAGCGUAGAUGGGUUGUUAAGUCAGUUGUGAAAGUUUGCGGCUCAACCGUAAAAUUGCAAUUGAUACUGGCAGUCUUGAGUACAGUUGAGGUAGGCGGAAUUCGUGGUGUAGCGGUGAAAUGCUUAGAUAUCACGAAGAACUCCGAUUGCGAAGGCAGCUUACUAAACUGCCACUGACAUUGAUGCUCGAAAGUGUGGGUAUCAAACAGGAUUAGAUACCCUUGUAGUC